AGUGAACGCUGGCGGUAGGCCUAACACAUGCAAGUCGAACGGCAGCACAGUAAGAGCUUGCUCUUACGGGUGGCGAGUGGCGGACGGGAGAGGAAUACAUCCGAAUCUACUUUUUCGUGGGGGAUAACGUAGGGAAACUUACGCUAAUACCGCAUAUGACCUACGGGUGAAAGCAGUGGAUCUUCGGACCUUGCGCGAUUGAAUGAGCCGAUGUCGGAUUAGCUAGUUGGCGGGGUAAAGGCCCACCAAGGCGACGAUCCGUAGCUGGUCUGAGAGGAUGAUCAGCCACACUGGAACUGAGACACGGUCCAGACUCCUACGGGAGGCAGCAGUGGGGAAUAUUGGACAAUGGGCGCAAGCCUGAUCCAGCCAUACCGCGUGGGUGAAGAAGGCCUGCGGGUUGUAAAGCCCUUUUGUUGGGAAAGAAAAGCAGCAGGUUAAUACCCCGCUGUUCGGACGGUACCCAAAGAAUAAGCACCGGCUAACUUCGU
rnacentral:rRNA from 1 species